rnacentral:lncRNA from 1 species
AGCUGACGUCACGCCCAGACGUCCCAAGGUAUGAGCUGUAGAUACGCACGUGAGCGCUGGUGGGAGACGCCAGGCUGGGAUUUCCGCUCGAUCUGGGAAUGAGCAAUGCAACCUAAUGACACCCAGAGCUCCUGAAUCACCCGAGGAAAAUGACGAGAGACUCCCUCCGGUGGGAACGUCUCCUAGAAACAAGGCCUAAGAUGGGGCGACAACAGCCCCACAGCUGUGUCCAGAUGCAGGGAGCACUCGCCUGUGCUGUAAGUCUGUCCCACAGUGGAGAAAAGGCUCAGACCCCACGGCUCUGCUGUCCACCCUCAGUGCGGGGGAGAGGGGGGAUCCAUAUCGGCAGUCAAGGAGCGGGAAUCUGAAAAGGCCAAGGCUGAACCCUGCACAGAACCCAGACCUCCGUGUGCCUCCAGAAACAGCCGAGGCUGGGCCUUCCUUGAGAUACUCUUCAACUUCAAGGCUCUUCUCACCUGAGCUCCUUGGAAGCUGUCCCAGACAGCUGCUGGUCCCUCCUCUGUCCCCACUGUGCAGAGUGUGGCCCCACUGGAGAGACUGUUUUUCCCCCCGUGUAUUGGAGUCAGUCACCCUCACCUGGAAGAAUGGGACUGUUGAAUUGAGGCAUCAUGGGUCACUUCCAUCCCAGAGCGUUUGAUUUGAGUGGUGAGGGACGGCCGGUGUCAUCGUUGGAGCUUCCUAAGAGUCCCAGAGGCUGAUGCACCUCCCAGACUCUCCUCGGCCCGGCUCCCUGGGCCCUGCUCCAGGGGCUUCAUUGCUCCCUGCCCCGGGUCACCCCUCGGCUCACCGUCUCUCAGGUGUGGAAUAUCCUGCUCCAAUCAAAGCCAUGUCACCUGCGUUGUCCAGUGAAACAUCAGUGGACAGGCGCUGCCCGGGCUCCAGGGAGCUCCUCACUGAGGCUCACUCCCUGUGCCUCUGCCAUCAGCACAGGGGGACAUGCCUGGCUGCCUGUGGGACCAGGGAGGACGCGCGGUGCGGGAGCAGAGCCAGCCACACUGCCGCUGCUGCACUGUUCAUCUGAGUGGCGCAAGGUUAUGUGUUUCAGCUGCGAGUUUUUCAAAUUGUUGCAAAUCUUCAAACAUUUUUCCAACAAAUUUACUGAAAAAAAUCCACAUAUAAGUGGCACCCCCACCAGUUUAAACCUGUGUUGUUCAAGAGUCAGCUAUUUUUAUGAGGUGUUUUCAAAAGUUUAUGGAAAAUGAAUCUUAUGAAUAAAACUAUGCAUGGAUUUCAAAUCUUUUGCACCAAAAUAAACUCAUACUAACUUGUUAUAAAAUGUCUGAGUUUUAUACAGUUUAGUUUGAGACACUAAGAAAGAUAAGACAUCAGUUUGGAAAGGGUCAUCAGAGCAACGUGAAUUAUGCAAAACUGAAGCAAAAACAAACACCAAAUUUAUGGUGAAGGUUAGGUAGAGGAAUGGUGAAGUCAUUGAUGCUUUCUAAACAGUUUAGGUGGAUAAUGCCCCACAGAAAGCAGCCAUUUACAAAUGGUUACGCCAUUUUAAGAAGGAACAGGAUGAUGUUGAACAUGAAGCCUGCAGCAGCAGACCACAUCAAUUUGAGAGGAAAAAAUUAAUCUUGCUUAUGCCCUAGUUGAAGAGGACUGGUGCUUAGCAGCACAAACAAUAGCCAACACCAUAGACACCUCAAUUGGUUCAGCUUUCCCAAUCCUGGCCAAAAAAUUAAAGUUGAGCAAAUUUUCUACGUAAUGAGUGCCCAAACUUGCACCCAGAUCAGUUGCCAACCAGGGCAGAGCUUUCAAUGGAAAUUUUAAGCAAGAGGGGGAUGAAGAUCUUGAAGCAUUGCUUUGAAGAAUUGUAACAGGAGAUGAAACAUGGCUUUGCUAGUACCAUUCUGGAGACACAAUCAAAGCAAUGGCUACCAAGAGGUGGAAGUGCUGCAGUCACAGCAAACGUGGCCACCCAAGAGCAAAGGUCAUGGCAACAAUUUUGGGGAAUGUUCAAGGCAUUUUGUCUGUUGACUUUCUGGAGGGCCAAAGAACAAUAACAGCUGCUUAUUAUGAGAGUGUUUUGAGAAAGUU